AGCGAACGCUGGCGGCAGGCCUAACACAUGCAAGUCGGACGAAGUCUUCGGACUUAGUGGCGGACGGGUGAGUAACACGUGGGAACGUGCCUUUAGGUUCGGAAUAACUCAGGGAAACUUGUGCUAAUACCGAAUGUGCCCUUCGGGGGAAAGAUUUAUCGCCUUUAGAGCGGCCCGCGUCUGAUUAGCUAGUUGGUGAGGUAAAGGCUCACCAAGGCGACGAUCAGUAGCUGGUCUGAGAGGAUGAUCAGCCACAUUGGGACUGAGACACGGCCCAAACUCCUACGGGAGGCAGCAGUAGGGAAUCUUGCGCAAUGGGCGAAAGCCUGACGCAGCCAUGCCGCGUGAAUGAUGAAGGUCUUAGGAUUGUAAAAUUCUUUCACCGGGGACGAUAAUGACGGUACCCGGAGAAGAAGCCCCGGCUAACUUCGUGCCAGCAGCCGCCGUAA
rnacentral:rRNA from 1 species